rnacentral:rRNA from 1 species
GAUGAACGCUGGCGGCGUGCCUAAUACAUGCAAGUCGAGCGAACAGACGAGGAGCUUGCUCCUCUGACGUUAGCGGCGGACGGGUGAGUAACACGUGGAUAACCUACCUAUAAGACUGGGAUAACUUCGGGAAACCGGAGCUAAUACCGGAUAAUAUAUUGAACCGCAUGGUUCAAUAGUGAAAGACGGUUUUGCUGUCACUUAUAGAUGGAUCCGCGCCGCAUUAGCUAGUUGGUAAGGUAACGGCUUACCAAGGCAACGAUGCGUAGCCGACCUGAGAGGGUGAUCGGCCACACUGGAACUGAGACACGGACCAGACUCCUACGGGAGGCAGCAGUAGGGAAUCUUCCGCAAUGGGCGAAAGCUUGACGGAGCAACGCCGCGUGAGUGAUGAAGGUCUUCGGAUCGUAAAACUCUGUUAUUAGGGAAGAACAAAUGUGUAAGUAACUAUGCACGUCUUGACGGUACCUAAUCAGAAAGCCACGGCUAACUACGUG